UAACUGGUAUGCGACUUACAUUCCAAAUUACCCCCUUUUUCGUUUAAUAGUGCACUAUUUUUAGCCGUAAGGAUCUGGUUAAAGUGAGCGUACUAGGAAUAGGGUACCAUUUGGAACGUCAUAACUUCUGACUUCGCAACUCGAGUCACAUGUCGCGGCUGUGAGCUGGUCUCUCUAGACGAGUUGACACUUCUUUCCGCCCGCUAAGAGGACGGUGUGAAGUUUUGAGAAGUCACCGAGUACCGGGGGAAGGCGACAGCAAAGGCCAUGGCGACCGGAGACAGUGGCGGAGAGAGUCUAGAGUCGUGGCUGAACAAGGCCACAGACCCGUCUAACUCAGAAGACAGGUGGGACAGUAUCCAGGGCUUCUAUGACCAGGUCAACCAGGAGGCUGAUGGUCCUCAGGUUGCCACUCGUCUCCUGGCCCACAAGAUCCAGUCUCCUCAGCAGAGAGAGGCUCUGCAGGCCCUCACAGUUCUAGAAGCCUGCAUGAACAACUGUGGCAAGAGGUUCCACAGUGAGGCGGCAAAAUUCCGCUUCCUCAAUGAACUCAUCAAAGUCCUGUCUCCAAAGUUCCUGGGUCAGUGGAGUGGUGCGGAGGUGAAGCUGAGGGUGACGGAGGUUCUGUACAGCUGGACUUUGUGGCUCAAAGAAGAACCCAAGAUUCAGGAGGCCUACCACAUGCUGAAGAAACAAGGCCUUGUGAAGAAGGACCCUAAACUCCCAGACACCAUUGUGAUGCCUCCUCCCUCACAGAGAGUUGAGGACUCUGUGUUCAACCAGGUGGACAAGGCCACGUUGUUAGCCACACUCCUGAAGAGCAGUAGUCCUGAAGAUCUGCAGACAGCCAACAGACUGAUCAAGAACACCAUCAAAGAAGAGCAGCAGAAAGCAGAGCUUGUAUCUAGACGUGUCUCUACCCUGGAGGAGGUCGCUAGCAGAACCAGACAGCUGAGAGAGUUACUACAGCAACACGGUCUCACUGGGCCCUCCACACACCACACUGACCACCUGAAGGCCCUCUACGAGAGCUGUGAUAGGCUCAGACCCAACCUUUUCCGAUUGGCCAGCGACACCGUCGACGAUGACGAAGCUUUAGCUCAGAUCCUGAGGGCCAACGAUGAGCUGACCCUGGUGGUCAACAUGUAUAAAGACAUGAUGGGGGGGAGAGAGAGCAGCAGGAUGAGAGGAGGAGGAGGUGGAGAGCCCUCCAUAAACAACGAUCCCAGCAGCCCCAGAGAGAUAAAGAGUUACCAUCUCAUAGACCUGUCAGCCCUGGACUCUCCACAGACACAUAGACCACCUUCUAAAGACAUGUCUUCCUCCGGCUCACCUCCCCACCACGUCUCCUCCUUCCUGUCCCCCUCCUCUACCCCCAGCCUCGGCUUGGCACCCCUCCUCCCUCCUCUUCCUCCCCUCCCUCCUCUCCUCUCUCCCGUCAACGGCUCAGCAGUACUCCCCUAUCUCUAAUCGAUCUGGACGUGACAGGGCUGGAUAAACCAGCAUCGUCUCAAAGCCAGAGCAGCACGUACUACCAUGAACUACUCCAGAUGAGAGGAGGAGAGGAGAACACAGGGAGAGACCAUUCCCUGACCACGUGGGGGUGUGGAGGGAGAGUCCACCCACUGGUGGCCCGGGGUUGCGGCAGUGGCUCAUCAAAUGGAACAGACUGGGCGUGCCUUCAGAAUCGUCCAAUUGUGAUGUCAGGAUCACCAUCAAACUCACAGAGUCAGCCAAUGACAGAGUCAGGAUCUCCAGAGAAAUCAGAGAGUUUCAAUCUCCCAGAAUCCCUAGCAGAGAUCCACGUCCCGCUGGAAUCCAUUAAACCAAGUCGAUUGGAGCCAAUCACAGUGUACGACCAGAAUGGCGUCCAUGUUUCCCUCCAUUUUGCCAGAGACCCGCCCCGGGACACCCUAACGUUGCUGUGGUUAUCGUCUCCACGGUGAACACCUCCGCACUUCCUGUUAAAGACAUCCUGUUUCAGGCUGCCGUUCCCAAGACCAUGACAGUGAAGCUCCAGUCGUCUUCAGGGAAUGACCUCCCCUCCUACAACCCUCUGCUGCCCCCUGCUGCCCUCUCACAGAUACUGCUCCUCUCCAACCCACACAGGCGUAAGGUACGUCUGCGCUACAAGCUGACCCUGGUCCACGGUGAUGGAGAGCAGAGCCUCAGUGAGAUGGGAGAGGUGGAGGACUUCCCUGACUGGGUCUCCUGGAUGGGCCUCUGAUCUGAGAAAACCCUGCAUGGAAUUCUAGAACCUGAGAGAGAGAGACAUUCUAGAACCUGACAGAGAAAUAUUCUGGUACCUGAUAGAGAAAGGUUCUGCAGCAUGUGGAACCCUCUGCGAUUGCUGCCUUGACCGCCAUGAUGUCAUGUAGUUGGUCAUGUGAUCUGUGAUGCGUGUGUAUUUACUUUUGAUAUGCGGUCAUCCUUGGAGGUUCUUAAAACGGAUAUUUAUGUAGUAUUUGAAGUAGGCUCUGGGACACCAGUCUAGUGUUAGGUGUGGGUGUGUCCAUUUGUGUGUUCUCGUGUUUGUCUGAUUGACCCGGCUUUCAACUCGGUGCCAAAUGACCCACCUGGGUUACGUUUCUCCACCUUUUUAUACCAAACUAGACCAGGUGAACCAGUUGCCUCUGCUACUGACCUGUUGUUCACCUGGCUCCUGUGUGAGCUGCUUGUUGUGUUUUUGUUCAUCGUCUGAUUGAUUGAUUGAUGCCUCAGAUACGACACUCUGAAAUCUGUGAUCAAUAAAACAUAGAAUGCUGUUCUUA